GGGGGUGUAGCUCAGCGGCACAGCACUGGCCUAGCAUUGUAUAAGGCCCCAGGUUUGAUCCCUGGCACUGCCA
rnacentral:tRNA from 1 species